CCAAACUGCACUGACUGAGAAACCGGUUGUUUUAUUACUUGUUUCUACCUUGAGUGGUGAGAUUAAAUUGAAUUUAAAAGACUAGCAUAAGAGGAGAAGGCAUACAGGGAAUAUUUAUGACCGUCGGAGCAGGGCUGGGUUCCUGGAGACGGGAUAACACGUGGCUUUGUGCUGCCAGACAGAGAGUUCCUUUCGGUGGUCACACCAAUGUUUUUUCAUACUCCCACGGACACCACAACUUUUUUGGAUAAGGAAGAAGAUGAUGGAACACAGAUGAGGGAAAGAAAUGGCCUCAGAGAACUUGGAUACGUGGGGUACUGGAACCUGUGAGGCACUGGGAGCUUAGGAGCAUCUUUUGGAGCCUGCUACAGGCUGGAGGCUGUCAGAGAAAGAAGUUGCCAGUGAGUUGUCCAGCGUGUUGUGGAGCAGGAGGAUGAUUUGCCAAUGACUGAGUGUAUUCCAGGGAUUCCCGAUCCAAUGGUCAGGGAUCCAGCUUUUCACUUCUGAUCUACUGUAAGUUAUGGAAUCUGGCAAAUAGGCACAAAUCUGGAUGAGCUGGUUUAUGGAACAAUAAACACAGCAUUUUAGCAGAUGUAUGGAGGCUGGAUUUGAUGGCUUCUGGCACAUCAGGAUCUCACUCAGGAAGCCCCUGAGCGAGGCAGCGCCGUGUGAACACGAGGAAGGAACUAAAGAGCACUCCUGAAAACUACCUCCUGGAAUGUAAAAAUUCUGAUCUUCGGGAAAGUAAAGGAACUGCUGUGGGAGAUGAAAAAUGUCAAUAUAUUUGGAGAACAGGCUAUUUCAGACUGGUGGUGAACAACUCGAGAGUCAUGUUUUGGUGAACUUCUGCUCCAAGACCUAUAAGGCUGGCAGUACUUCUCUCCAGAUGUACCAUUUGGCACAUUAAACAGUUCUUUUCUUAGAAGGGAAACCUAUGGUUUCGCCAUGUAAUGCAAAACACCAAUGGAAUCACUACAUAAGCAAAAUGCCAGUAAUGGUACAGUGGUCCAGCCACAAACAUUGAAGAGCUGGGGCAGAACAUGGCUGUGACUGUUUGCAGCUGCCCUUGGAGCUGGAGUGGAGGGAGUCCCCCCUGUGCUGCCCGGAGCUCGGCCGUGCUGGGGGAGCGUCAGCCCAAAGGGAUGUGCAAGUCAUCCAGUGGAAGGGGAAGCUGAGCUGCCUCCUGGUUCAGCUGGAGAUGAUGGGAGCAGGCAAACACUUCCCUGGGCUGCAGUGCCAGCAGAAAGGAGCUCAGGACCGUGGCCAACUCCCUCUGCAAGGGCUUCUGGAUCUGCCUCAGCCUGAGGAGAGACACGGGAACAGCCCUGAAGUUUCUGGUCCUGACAGGAGUUGGGAAGUGACAAGAUUUACAUAAACAAGGAAGAAUUAUCUGAAUCUUCUCAGGACUCGUGACAGUGAACUACAGCAGAGCCAGAGCAAAAAGGGUGAAAUGGAGAACUCUUCCCUGAGCAAGAUGAAAUACUGCUAUUACUAUGGAAUGGAAAUUCCAUCCUGACUCACCCUGCCUUUAACAGAUCUACAUCAAGUUCCAAGUCAUCAGGGCAGUGCCAACCAAAAGGAUUUUGCACAACUGGACACUUUCACACCUCCACAGUGCCAGUGCUGUAUUACAGACAAGACCCUGAGCUGUCAGGAUUGAAGACAUCUGGCUUCAGAGGGAGGGCAUCCCAGGAGAAAAGUGAAGGCAGGUACCUCUGGGCAUCACUGGCUGCAAUCCAUCCCAGCACACAGGAGCACCCACAGGGUCUCCUUGCGCCACGUGUGGGGCUCCAAGAAAGCCAUCCCUGGAAUACAUGAUGACAGAGGCAACAAGGCUUUGCUGCCAGCAGCUCACACACACCCAGCAGCACUGUGCACCCAGGCUGGCAGGCUCUCCCACAGACAGAACCGGGGCCAGCUGCACCAACAUGUCCCCACUCGCUGCCAGAGCCGCAGCCCCGCUCCCAUCCCGCGGCUCCAGAACGAGCUCCUCAGCCCUUCCACACACAGACCCCUGGGAGCUCACUGCUCCCCUCAGCCUGCCAGGAGCCUGGAGCCUCAGCUCCCAGCAACGUGAGCUGCCCAGCUCGUGUCACAGAUCUUGCUUUUCCCGAAAUCUCUGGAAUGGCAAUUAGUGUGCCUGCUCAUUUCACUCCUGACAAUGUGACCAGGAGCUUUUAGGAGAUUUGCUUAUGGAUCACUUUGGGAUGAAAUAGCAUCUGAAAAGGAUGCAGCAGGGAGAAGGUUCCUCAGAGCCAUUGCUGAUAUGGGACUUAUGGAAGGAAUUCAAGUUCUGCACCUUUGCAUAACAGCCCUACUCCACCUCCUGUCUAAGGGCUCAAGCCACCAAAACCGCUUCCUGUGGAAGCUGCCCAAGCUCCAGAACUUUCAGAUCCUUGUGUCCACAUCUCUACUUCUCCUCUGACCUCCUCUUGCAUUAAGGAAGCACAAGGAAAGGAUUCAUGCUGCAACACAAAAUGCCAUAUUUUUUAUAUCAGAACAUAUAAAUGCACAAAAGAAGUUUUUAAACAGCACAAGAGGUCAUGCCCAACCAGAUAUCUUGUGUGGCUUCAAAGAUAUAACUUCACUGCAAUAUUGCUGUGGCACGUUUUGCCAGUGCAGGUAAAGGCCAGAUGAGCAGAGCUCCAUUUAUUUUCUCCCCCAUAAAACUCAAACUUGUUUCCAAAGUCACAGCUUUAAUGAGAUUGGAGAUUUUGAAGUGUCCAAGUUAGUCCUUGAAGCCAGUCCAGCCGCAGAGGUGGUGCAACACAGACAUGACAGCACUAACGAGGCUGCAUUAGGAUCUUAAAGAAAGAGGGGUACACAAGAGGUGAGUAUCGCUCAGGGUUACACAAGUGUCAUUCUGACAUUUCUUUCCCCCAUUACUCCUCAGGACCUUUAGCAGCACAGCCCAGCACUUUCCUGUCUGGCCAAAGGUGCCAGCACACCGACGGACGUUUUUUGAGAAUUCCCUGCUCCUCAGUAGUUAAAUUUUUGUCCUUUGCAAUUUCCAGAUUUCUGACAGAACUGCUAGUGACAGUUGUAAUAAUAUUCUGCAAAAUGUUGUGGUGGUGAUUCUUUGAAUGCCUUUGUGGUUUGCUGUCCAGAGUUAUAAUAACCUAUGUUUGCCCAGAUAUGUGUUCUCAGCUUGGAAGCACUGGAGCCAGCAUUUGCUCUCCUGCAUGGGCAACUGCACGUGUGUGCCUGCAUGUGCUGCUGAACAUGUGAGCUAGCUCCAGGUGUUUGCCAAGUGCUUCCUGGUCCCUGGGAGGUACAAUUUGGGAUUCACAUCUCAGGGAAAGCGUGAGACUUAUAGUUUAUUCCAAAUACUAGAAUCCACCAAUGGGAAUCAUAGGUGGUUUCUGAGCCUCCUCUCAGUUUCAUGUGUUUAUCUAUCAAUUCUUUCCUUCCUUAAUCAUUUUAUCUUGGAAAAAAUACUGGAGGGAAUAGAGGAGAGGGAGAAAAAGUUUGUAUGACAAGAGACUGAAACUGGCACAGCUACACCGAGAUUAGUUUGAUAAGAGAGCUCACGUCAGAUGCCAGCCUUGCUCUGUUCAUCUCCAGGAGCUUAUCUGAGGUCCUGAGAAACAUGAGAUACAGUAGCCAGUUUAUGUUAACCUUUGCUUGGUCUCAGGUCUACACGUACAGGUCCUUAGUGAAAACUGCUGAGUGAAACCCUGAGAAAUCAGGCUUGGAUACACUGAAAUCACAGAUCUGUGUAUGAGGCACCAAUCCCGACCAAAACUGUGCAAUUUUGGAAAGACAACUCUAAGCAAAGCUCAAAAGAAGAUCCCCAAACCACUCAUAAAGUAUGUUCUCUGAAGUCCUUCUGUACCUUAUAAAACCUUUAUAUGUAUUUGUGUCCAUGAAGAAAACAAGGAGAGAUGUGAGAUAUGCGUGGUACUGGGCUUACUUUUAUAUAAAGAAAGAUAUAUCCCAGAAAUACUCUACAAAUAAUAAACUAGACUCUGGUAGUGUAUGGAUGCUAUAAAAGCCAGGGUUUCUAUUCUGUGCCAAGCAAAGGCUCCUAUAUAUAUUUUUAAAACUGGAUCUCAGUCAGCUGAAAUAUUGAAAAGAGUUAGUUCUAAAGAUGGCAAGAAAAGAGCUGAAUUUAAUUUGGGAAGAAAAUCCUGCAUGGUUUGGCUGCACACAAACAAUGCUAUACCCCCUGAAAGCUUGGCUUUUGAAAUGAAUUCAUGCUCUAGAGGAAGGAAAAGCUGAGCAUACCCUCAGCAGUGACUGUCUGAGCUCAGCUUCACACACAGUGUUACACAGCACUGGCUGUCACCAAUGAAUUGCAAUAUUAUGGAUUGCCACUGCACACUCUGGUUGUGGACUCUCGGGCCAAACAGCACUUUUACCCCAUAGUCACAAAUUAAAUCCUGUAAAGACAGCCUUUAAUCCAUGUCCCUUCAGAUCAUUAGUAUUACACUAUUUCUGAAUCUCUAAACUUUGCGCCCACCUAAGGCUUUCUGUUUUGGGGAUGGUGGCAUGUUGGGAUCCUAAAUAGCAAAAUUUCCCUUAGGACAAUUCAAGAGCCUCAUCAGAGACCUCAAAAUCCUGCAACUGUAGAGCUAAGCACAAUUUAUGUGGAGCAGCCAUGCAGAAAAUCUUCUUCCAAAGCCAGAUUCUCAGUACUGAUGUAAACUGCGCUUUGUCUCUUACCUCCUUUACAUUCCCUCUCCCGCACCCCCUCAAAGAGGGGAUCACCCUCUGCUGAAGCCAGCCAGCUGUGAGCUGUGCUCUGUGCUUUGUGGUGCCUCUCCCCAGCCAGGGAUGGGCAGUCACACCCUGCCUGGGCACACACCGGGCCCGCAGCGUGUGGCUGUGUCUGGGCACAGCACAGUUCCCUGGGCAGCUCUGCUUCUGAUCGCUCUUCCUGACACUGCACUCGUCUCCUGGCUCCAGGGGAUGCUGCUCUCCAGGCUCUGACCUCAUGCUGAGUGCCAAAGAAGCUGCUCUCAGGUCAUUAAGCUUCUGACCAAGUGAUGGGGCCAUGGCUUGGACCAACAGGACAGGUUGAACUGCGAUGCAGGUCAAUGCUGAACCUCCCGAGAGCUGCCUCCGUCUGUGGAACCAUCCUAAAGCCUGUUUCAUUCUCCCUCUUUUCCAGGCUUCCAUGACUUUUCACCUUCUUCCUUGCAGUUGUCAGGAUCCUUCCCUCCUCACCUUCCCAAUGGGCUUUUCCACUCCCCCCUUCUCUGCAUUCCCUUCUCCCUGGGGAACACACGGGCCCUUCCCUGGUUGUCACUGCCUUGCCACCCAUCGCUCCUCAUCACCUCUCUCCUGAAAGCUCCUGGGACCUGAGCCUUGGUCUUCACACACAGCCAAAGGCUGAAAGGAAAAACCUGACUGACUUACAUAAACUCACGUGUCUCAGACUGAGAUUUCUCUGACACUGUACAUUUCCAGCUCACUUUUCGUGGGUUUUUGGAAGUGAAAAAGUAAAAUUGAGAGCUGUCACCCAAAUUUAGAGCUUGGUUUGGGAAAGUUAAGCAUGAAUUGGAAUUCCUUUGUACCCAGGGAACACACAAGGAUGCUGGGCAUUUUGUAUGUCCUGUGUUUUCUACAUGUGGGAUGUGAUCUGCUUAAAUAUAUGCAUGUAACUACAAGCCUGUAUGCUUCCAGUUCUCCAUGUGUUCUCUUGAAUUUAAGCCUCAGCUGCUAUUGAAAGGGAAGUUUCUACUCUGGAAAAAGAAACUUACAUAAAGGGAUCCAAAUAAGCAGAAAAACUCAAAAGAGCUUUGUAGACACACACUUAUUUAAAAAAAAAAAUCACUAUUUCUGUGCACAUCUAUAUGACUACAUAUAAUCUUUUAAACACAAUUUCUUCCCUACUUUCUCUAUUUUCUUCUAUUUUUUUUGACAGAAACUAUUCACAGCAGAAGGAUACAUUGAAUAAAAUAAUUUUUUUUCUUAUUUUAAACAAAAUAAAAGGUAAUCUGAAAUAUAUAUUUCACAGUCCAAGGCCAAUAAACUACUGUGAGAUAUCUACUGGUAAGAUGCCUCUGACAUGUCUGUGUGAGAGAAAGCAGAUCCUACCCCAGACUCACAAUACCGUCAAUCAGUGCCAUCAUUUUUUCCUCCAUCUCUUGCUCUGAAUAUCCAUAGCUGAAAUGGAUUAGCUGAGAAUUUUCUGUCAUUAUAACAGUCACUCCUUCAGUGUCCCAGCAUGUGUCACUUCCAUGUGCAAUGGGGAAGGAGGAGGCAGGUGACUCCCUGUUCUGAGGAACUAAUGCAAUCCAAGUAGAGCCUUUGUGCUAAAUGCAAAUCACUCCCAGGAAAGACAAAUCCAGUCACCUCUGAAUUGCUUCAGCUCAGGAGAGAGCUGGUGGCAAUAUUGCAUGGCUGCCCAUCACCUGGAAGGGCCAGAAAGGUGUUCCUUCAGCAGGCUGACAGUGUGCUGCUCACCCUCGGUAUCCUCCACUUCCCUGCCCUGCUGGGCUGUGGGAUUUUAGGAAAAGGAUUUAGUCUCUGCCUCCUGCAGUU